UACGUAGGGUGCGAGCGUUGUCCGGAAUUAUUGGGCGUAAAGAGCUCGUAGGCGGUUUGUUGCGUCGGCUGUGAAAUCCCGAGGCUCAACCUCGGGUCUGCAGUCGAUACGAGCAAACUAGAGUGUUGCAGGGGAGACUGGAAUUCCUGGUGUAGCGGUGAAAUGCGCAGAUAUCAGGAGGAACGCCUGUGGUGUAGACGGCUCUCUGGACCAUUACUGACACUGAGGUACGAAAGCGUGGGUAGCAAACAGG
rnacentral:rRNA from 1 species